AUUGAACGCUGGCGGAAUGCUUUCCACAUGCAAGUCGAACGGCAGCACGGACUUCGGUCAGGUGGCGAGUGGCGAACGGGUGAGGAACACAUCGGAACGUGCCCAGUCGUGGGGGAUAACGUAGCGAAAGCUACGCUAAUACCGCAGACGAUGUAAGGAUGAAAGCGGGGGACCGUAAGGACUCGCGCGCUUGGAGCGGCCGAUGGCAGAUUAGGUAGUUGGUGGGGUAAAGGCUCACCAAGCCGACGAUCUGUAGCUGGUCUGAGAGGACGACCAGCCACACUGGAUCUGAGACACGGCCCAGACUCCUACGGGAGGCAGCAGUGGGGAAUUUUGUACAAUGGGCGCAAGCCUGAUCCGGCCAUUCCGCGUGCAGGAUGAAGGCCCUCGGGUUGUAAACUGCUUUUGUACGGAACGAAAAGGCUCUGGUUAAUACCCGGGGCUCAUGACGGUACCGUAAGAAUAAGCACCGGCUAACUACGUGCCAGCCGCCGCCGUAA
rnacentral:rRNA from 1 species